GCGCGCGAUACAGGGUGACAGCCCCGUACACAAAAAUGCACAUGCUGUGAGCUCGAUGAGUAGGGCGGGACACGUGGUAUCCUGUCUGAAUAUGGGGGGACCAUCCUCCAAGGCUAAAUACUCCUGACUGACCGAUAGUGAACCAGUACCGUGAGGGAAAGGCGAAAAGAACCCCGGCGAGGGGAGUGAAAAAGAACCUGAAACCGUGUACGUACAAGCAGUGGGAGCCUCUUUAUGGGGUGACUGCGUACCUUUUGUAUAAUGGGUCAGCGACUUAUAUUCUGUAGCAAGGUUAACCGAAUAGGGGAGCCGAAGGGAAACCGAGUCUUAACUGGGCGUUAAGUUGCAGGGUAUAGACCCGAAACCCGGUGAUCUAGCCAUGGGCAGGUUGAAGGUUGGGUAACACUAACUGGAGGACCGAACCGACUAAUGUUGAAAAAUUAGCGGAUGACUUGUGGCUGGGGGUGAAAGGCCAAUCAAACCGGGAGAUAGCUGGUUCUCCCCGAAAGCUAUUUAGGU
rnacentral:rRNA from 1 species